AAUAGAUUCAUAUUUAUACGUCGUAGUUGAAUCAGAAAGACGAUUGAGAAUGAUACAAGAAGAAGGGUGACGAAUCAUACUGGGGUGUUAUUUAAGAAACUUAUAUGGGGGUUUGAACUGUUUCUCCAUGAGGGUGAUAUGAUACCUGCUCUUGCCUCUGCGGAACCUAAAUUGCACCCUGCAAAGGAUAAACACCGGGAUAUUUUCAAGUAUUAUACCGAGGUUAAGCCUUCUCCUGCAACUUAAAUGGAAAUAACUUGCUAGGAGUUUUCUUUUACUAAUUUUGACGACCUGCAAUCGACCCUCAACAACAUUUAAUUUACUUUGGAGGUCAUAUGUAUUCAUCAGGCAGAGCUUAAGAACUUUUUGAAGUUUCUUUACCGGGAAAACUUGGCUAGAGAAAAGUUUGAGUAGCCUUUUUAAUUAACCGUUUAAGAUGGAAAGUGUGUAAUCCCACAGUUGCAGAAGUUUUGUAAGCAACAGAUUUAAAAAGUAUUGGGUUCGUAAAAUGCACUAAAGGUUCUGGAGGUCUCAGAAAUAUGUUCAAACGAGGUAUGAAAGCUUGUAGUUUCGAAAUCAACACUCCAGUACAAAGACGAGCUAAUUGAUUACCUAACUUUGAAGAAUUUGCAAAGUAGAACCAACACUUGAUGGCACAUAUCACAAGGGCCUUGGUCAGUUUAUUUCAGUUGGGAUGUGGAGUUAUGUGCGAAGGGUGUGAAGCAUGCUCUAGCCAGAACCCUCAGAACCCCAAACUCAAUCGGGGUUAAUCCAUUACGUUACAACCAUCAGUGCUAUUGGAGGAGCUGCUACCAAUGGUUUCUUUUCUUUGGAACCCUUUCUAGCAAUGAUCAUUCUCAUUCGGUAAUAUCAAAUUCAAACACUUUAUCUA